rnacentral:tRNA from 1 species
GCGCUUAUAGUUUAAAGGAUAAAACAAGGCCCUCCUAAGGCUUAGCUCUAGGUUCAAUUCCUAGUAGGCGCGCCA